rnacentral:snRNA from 1 species
AUACUUACCUGGCAGGGGAGAUACCAUGACCACCAAGGUGGUUUUCCCAGGGGAAGGCUUCUCCAUUAGACUCCGGAUGUGCUGACCCCUGCGAUUUCCCCAAAUGCAGGAAACUCGACUGCAUAAUUUGUGGUAGUGAGGGACUGCGUUCGCACUCCCCCUUG